rnacentral:rRNA from 1 species
CCUACGGGAGGCAGCAGUGGGGAAUAUUGCACAAUGGGGGAAACCCUGAUGCAGCGACGCCGCGUGAGUGAAGAAGCAUCUCGGUACGUAAAGCUCUAUCAGCAGGGAAGAAAAUGACGGUACCUGACUAAGAAGCCCCGGCUAACUACGUGCCAGCAGCCGCGGUAAUACGUAGGGGGCAAGCGUUAUCCGGAUUUACUGGGUGUAAAGGGAGCGUAGCCGGGAGGAGAAGUCUGGAGUGAAAUCCCGGGGCUUAACCCCGGAACUGCUUUGGAAACUGUGCGGCGGGAGUGCAGGAGGGGUAAGGGGAAUUCCUAGUGUAGCGGUGAAAUGCGUAGAUAUUAGGAGGAACACCGGUGGCGAAGGCGGCUUACUGGACUGUAACUGACGUUGAGGCUCGAAAGCGUGGGGAGCAAACAGGAUUAGAUACCCUAGUAGUC